AAAGUCUAGCCUGCCCAAUGAGGAUUUUAAUGGCCGCAGUAUUUUGACUGUGCAAAGGUAGCAUAAUCAUUAGUUUCUUAAUUAGAAACUGGAAUGAAAGGUUGGACGAGAAAAUAACUGUCUCUUUAUAAAUUUUUUAGAAGUUUAUUUUUAAGUUAAAAAGCUUAAAUGAUUUUAAAAGACGAGAAGACCCUAUAGAGUUUUAUUAAUUAUUUAAUAAAGUAUUAUUUUGAAUAUUAAAAUUUUUAUUUUUAGGAUUAAUUUGAUUGGGGUGAUUGAAAAAUUUAAUAAACUUUUUUUUAAUAAAAACAUUAAUUUAUGAAUAGUUGAUCCAUUAUUAUGAUUAAAAGAUUAAAUUACCUUAGGGAUAACAGCGUAAUUUCUUUUUAGAGUUCUAAUCGAUAAAGAAGGUUGCGACCUCGAUGUUGGAUUAAAAUUAAUUUAUGGUGUAGAAGCUAUAAUAUUAGGUCUGUUCGACCUUUAAAAUUUUACAUGAUCUGAGUUUAAACCGGUGUGAGCCAGGUUGGUUUCUAUCUUUAAAAAAUUUUUAUAUUUUAGUACGAAAGGACCAAAUAUUAUAAAAAUUUUAU
rnacentral:rRNA from 1 species